rnacentral:rRNA from 1 species
GAUGAACGCUGGCGGCGUGCCUAAUACAUGCAAGUCGAGCGAACAGACGAGGAGCUUGCUCCUCUGACGUUAGCGGCGGACGGGUGAGUAACACGUGGCUAACCUACCUAUAAGACUGGGAUCACUUCGGGAAACCGGAGCUCAUACCGGAUAACAUGUUGAACCGCAUGGUUCAACAGUGAAAGCCGUUCUUGCUGUCCCUUAUAGAUGGAUCCGCGCCGCAUUAGCUAGUUGGUAAGGUAACGGCUUACCAAGGCAACGAUGCGUAGCCGACCUGAGAGGGUGAUCGGCCACACUGGAACUGAGACACGGUCCAGACUCCUACGGGAGGCAGCAGUAGGGAAUCUUGCGCAAUGGGCGAAAGCCUGACGGAGCAACGCCGCGUGAGUGAUGAAGGUCUUCGGAUCGUAAAACUCUGUUAGUAGGGAAGAACAAAUGUGUAAGUAACUAUGCACGUCUUGACGGUACCUAAUCAGAAAGCCACGGCUAACUACGUG